GGGUUGUGAGGUUAAGCGACUAAGCGUACACGGUGGAUGCCCGGCAGUCAGAGGCGAUGAAGGACGUGCUAAUCUGCGAUAAGCGUCGGUGAGGUGAUAUGAACCGUUAUAACCGGCGAUUUCCGAAUGGGGAAACCCAGUGUGUUUCGACACACUAUCAUUAACUGAAUCCAUAGGUUAAUGAGGCGAACCGGGGAACUGAAACAUCUAAGUACCCCGAGGAAAAGAAAUCAACCGAGAUUCCCCAGUAGCGGCGAGCGAACGGGGAGGAGCCCAGAGCCUGAAUCAGUGUGUGUGUUAGUGGAAGCGUCUGGAAAGGCGCGCGAUACAGGGUGACAGCCCCGUACACAAAAAUGCAUGCUGUGAGCUCGAUGAGUAGGGCGGGACACGUGGUAUCCUGUCUGAAUAUGGGGGACCAUCCUCCAAGGCUAAAUACUCCUGACUGACCGAUAGUGAACCAGUACCGUGAGGGAAAGGCGAAAAGAACCCCGGCGAGGGGAGUGAAAAGAACCUGAAACCGUGUACGUACAAGCAGUGGGAGCCUCUUAAUGGGGUGACUGCGUACCUUUGUAUAAUGGGUCAGCGACUUAUAUUCUGUAGCAAGGUUAACCGAAUAGGGGAGCCGAAGGGAAACCGAGUCUUAACUGGGCGUUAAGUUGCAGGGUAUAGACCCGAAACCCGGUGAUCUAGCCAUGGGCAGGUUGAAGGUUGGGUAACACUAACUGGAGGACCGAACCGACUAAUGUUGAAAAAUUAGCGGAUGACUUGUGGCUGGGGUGAAAGGCCAAUCAAACCGGGAGAUAGCUGGUUCUCCCGAAAGCUAUUUAGGUAGCGCCUCGUGAAUUCAUCUCCGGGGUAGAGCACUGUUUCGGCAAGGGGUCAUCCCGACUUACCAACCCGAUGCAAACUGCGAAUACCGGAGAAUGUUAUCACGGGAGACACACGGCGGGUGCUAACGUCCGUCGUGAAGAGGGAAACAACCCAGACCGCCAGCUAAGGUCCCAAAGUCAUGGUUAAGUGGGAAACGAUGUGGGAAGGCCCAGACAGCCGGGAUGUUGGCUUAGAAGCAGCCAUCAUUUAAAGAAAGCGUAAUAGCUCACUGGUCGAGUCGGCCUGCGCGGAAGAUGUAACGGGGCUAAACCAUGCACCGAAGCUGCGGCAGCGACACUAUGUGUUGUUGGGUAGGGGAGCGUUCUGUAAGCCUGUGAAGGUGGCCUGUGAGGGUUGCUGGAGGUAUCAGAAGUGCGAAUGCUGACAUAAGUAACGAUAAAGCGGGUGAAAAGCCCGCUCGCCGGAAGACCAAGGGUUCCUGUCCAACGUUAAUCGGGGCAGGGUGAGUCGACCCUAAGGCGAGGCCGAAAGGCGUAGUCGAUGGGAAACAGGUUAAUAUUCCUGUACUUGGUGUUACUGCGAAGGGGACGGAGAAGGCUAUGUUGGCCGGGCGACGGUUGUCCCGGUUUAAGCGUGUAGGCUGGUUUUCCGUGCAAAUCCGGAAAACCAAGGCUGAGGCGUGAUGACGAGGCACUACGGUGCUGAAGUGACAAAUGCCCUGCUUCCGGAAAGCCUCUAAGCAUCAGGUAACAUCAAAUCGUACCCCAAACCGACACAGGUGGUCAGGUAGAGAAUACCAAGGCGCUUGAGAGAACUCGGGUGAAGGAACUAGGCAAAAUGGUGCCGUAACUUCGGGAGAAGGCACGCUGAUAUGUAGGUGAAGCGACUUGCUCGUGGAGCUGAAAUCAGUCGAAGAUACCAGCUGGCUGCAACUGUUUAUUAAAACACAGCACUGUGCAAACACGAAAGUGGACGUAUACGGUGUGACGCCUGCCCGGUGCCGGAAGGUUAAUUGAUGGGGUUAGCGGUAACGCGAAGCUCUUGAUCGAAGCCCCGGUAAACGGCGGCCGUAACUAUAACGGUCCUAAGGUAGCGAAAUUCCUUGUCGGGUAAGUUCCGACCUGCACGAAUGGCGUAAUGAUGGCGGGCUGUCUCCACCCGAGACUCAGUGAAAUUGAACUCGCUGUGAAGAUGCAGUGUACCCGCGGCAAGACGGAAAGACCCCGUGAACCUUUACUAUAGCUUGACACUGAACAUUGAGCCUUGAUGUGUAGGAUAGGUGGGAGGCUUUGAAGUGUGGACGCCAGUCUGCAUGGAGCCGACCUUGAAAUACCACCCUUUAAUGUUUGAUGUUCUAACGUUGGCCCCUAAUCGGGGUUGCGGACAGUGUCUGGUGGGUAGUUUGACUGGGGCGGUCUCCUCCUAAAGAGUAACGGAGGAGCACGAAGGUUGGCUAAUCUGGUCGGACAUCAGGAGGUUAGUGCAAUGGCAUAAGCCAGCUUGACUGCGAGCGUGACGGCGCGAGCAGGUGCGAAAGCAGGUCAUAGUGAUCCGGUGGUUCUGAAUGGAAGGGCCAUCGCUCAACGGAUAAAAGGUACUCCGGGGAUAACAGGCUGAUACCGCCCAAGAGUUCAUAUCGACGGCGGUGUUUGGCACCUCGAUGUCGGCUCAUCACAUCCUGGGGCUGAAGUAGGUCCCAAGGGUAUGGCUGUUCGCCAUUUAAAGUGGUACGCGAGCUGGGUUUAGAACGUCGUGAGACAGUUCGGUCCCUAUCUGCCGUGGGCGCUGGAGAACUGAGGGGCUGCUCCUAGUACGAGAGGACCGGAGUGGACGCAUCACUGGUGUUCGGGUUGUCAUGCCAAUGGCACUGCCCGGUAGCUAAAUGCGGAAGAGAUAAGUGCUGAAAGCAUCUAAGCACGAAACUUGCCCCGAGAUGAGUUCUCCCUGAGACUUAGAGUCUCCUGAAGGAACGUUGAAGACGACGACGUUGAUAGGCCGGGUGUGUAAGCGCAGCGAUGCGUUGAGCUAACCGGUACUAAUGAACCGUGAGGCUUAACCUUACAACGCCGAAG
rnacentral:rRNA from 1 species